rnacentral:rRNA from 1 species
UACGGAAGGUUCGGGCGUUAUCCGGAUUUAUUGGGUUUAAAGGGAGCGUAGGCCGGAGAUUAAGCGUGUUGUGAAAUGUAGACGCUCAACGUCUGCACUGCAGCGCGAACUGUUUUCCUUGAGUACGCACAAAGUGGGCGGAAUUCGUGGUGUAGCGGUGAAAUGCUUAGAUAUCACGAAGAACUCCGAUUGCGAAGGCAGCUCACUGGAGCGCAACUGACGCUGAAGCUCGAAAGUGCGGGUAUCGAACAGG